rnacentral:rRNA from 1 species
CGUAGGGUGCAAGCGUUGCCCGGAUUUAUUGGGCGUAAAGGGCGCGUAGGCGGCCCGGCGCGUCCGCGGUGAAAGCUCCCGGCUCAACUGGGAGAGGUCCGCGGAAACGGUCGGGCUGGAGCAAGGUAGGGGUCGUGGAAUUCCCGGUGUAGUGGUGGAAUGCGUAGAGAUCGGGAGGAACACCAGUGGCGAAGGCGGCGACCUGGACCUGUGCUGACGCUGAGGCGCGAAAGCGUGGGGAGCGAUCCGGAUUAGAUACCCGGGUAGUCCACGCCGUAAACGAUGCACACUAGGUGUCGGGGGUAUCGACCCCCUCGGCGCCGCAGCUAACGCAUUAAGUGUGCCGCCUGGGGACUACGGCCGCAAGGCUA